GCUGCCUGCAUGUCAUCAUCUCAUCAGACGAGCCCCUCUUAAGUAGCAGGUCACCUCGGCAACCACUCAUUGGAUGCAGCUGGGUUUUCUGUACUGUGCCUCACAUAAGAAAAUUGGAGCCUUACAGCCAAGAGAAGACAGCACGUGACUGAGCUCUGCUCAUAUAUCAUGACCCCUAAGGGUGCUGACACUAGGGCCAUCUGUCUGAGGUAAUAAUGACAAGCCACAUGGUGCUGGUGAGGAGGAAUAUAAGUGGGCCAACUCCUCUCUCUUCAACAGACCAUCCCAUAAUGCCACUGCUGCUCGACUCCUUCCAUCGCUGCUGACUGGUAACCACAGAGAAAUACCAAUGUGACCAGGAAUUGUUGCACGGCAACAGCAGGUGGCAGCACUGACCCUCUUUGGAAGCCCUGUCCUCUGACUGUACACAAUGAACUUUGUGCAGGUUCCUUAAAUAAAUCCAUUUCUAACACGUUA